UACGUAGGGGGCAAGCGUUGUCCGGAAUCAUUGGGCGUAAAGCGCGUGUAGGCGGUUACGUAAGUCUGCUGUGAAAGUCGGAGGCUCAACCUUCGAAAGCCGGUGGAUACUGCGUGACUAGAGUACGGAAGAGGAGAGUGGAAUUCCUGGUGUAGCGGUGAAAUGCGCAGAUAUCAGGAGGAACACCGUGGCGAAGGCGGGCUCUGGGCC
rnacentral:rRNA from 1 species